UCGCUGUCUCAUAUUCAAUUCCUUCUGAUCGAACAAAUACUUCAAACUCUUGUGAUCACUAAACACCUCAAACCUCGAACCAUACAAGUAAUGUCUCCAUAUCUUCAAUACAAAGACUACGGCCGCCAACUCGAGAUCAUGCGUAGGAUAAUUCUUCUCAUGAACUCUCAACUGUCUUGAAGCAUAAGCUACCACUUUACCUUCUUGCAUAAGUACA
rnacentral:lncRNA from 1 species